AAACUGCGAUAAGUAGUGUGAAUUGCAUUUAGUGAAUCAUCGAAUCUUUGAACGCACCUUGCACUCACUGGUAUUCCGGUGAGUACGCCUGUUUCAGUAUCAUUGAAAACACACAAUCAAAACAUUUUCUUUGGUUUGAUUGGCUUUGGGUCUAUCAAAAAGUUUGGCUUGUUUCUUACAAGCCAAGCGGCCUGAAAUAUAUUGUCUGGCUAAUUGCAUCGUUGAUGAUCGCUAUUAGACUUUGGCUUUUUUAAAUGAACUGGAGGUUGAUUAACCAGUUUUAGCUUUAGUCAAAUGGUCAUUGUAAAAAAAUCUCGAUCUUGGCUAGGUGUUUAUAGCCGAAAAUUUUUUUUUGGCUAUAACCGAAACCAAUAUAAUCACAUUUAGUUAUCGAUCUGAAAUCAGGUGGGACUACCCGCUGAACUUAAGC
rnacentral:misc_RNA from 1 species